rnacentral:rRNA from 1 species
UACGUAGGGUGCGAGCGUUGUCCGGAAUUAUUGGGCGUAAAGGGCUCGUAGGCGGUUUGUCGCGUCGGGAGUGAAAACCUCGGGCUUAACUCGGGGCUUGCUUUCGAUACGGGCAGACUGGAGGUAUGCAGGGGAGAACGGAAUUCCUGGUGUAGCGGUGAAAUGCGCAGAUAUCAGGAGGAACACCGGUGGCGAAGGCGGUUCUCUGGGCAUGACCUGACGCUGAGGAGCGAAAGUGUGGGGGGCGAACAGG